rnacentral:rRNA from 1 species
AUUGAACGCUGGCGGCAGGCCUAACACAUGCAAGUCGAACGAGUGGCGGACGGGUGAGUAAUGUCUGGGACACUGCCUGAUGGAGGGGGAUAUCUUCUGGAAACGGUAGCUAAUACCACAUACCAUCGGAUGUGCCCAAAUGGGUUUAGCUUGUAGGUGGGGUAACGGCUCACCUAGGAGACGAUCCCUAGCUGGUCUGAGGUGAUGACCAGCCAAACUGGGACUGAGGCACGGUCCAGACUCCGACGGGAGGCAGCAGUGGGGAAUAUUGCAAAAUGGGCGCAAGCCUGAGGCAGCCAUGCCGCGUGUAUGAAGAAGGCCGUCGGGUUGGAAAGUACUUUCAGCGGGGAGGCGUUACCCGCAGAAGAAACAACGGAUAACUCCGUGGCAGCAGCCGCGGUAAUUC